rnacentral:rRNA from 1 species
GACGAACGCUGGCGGCGUGCUUAACACAUGCAAGUCGAGCGGUAAGGCCCUUUCGGAGGUACACGAGCGGCGAACGGGUGAGUAACACGUGGGUGACCUGCCCUCAGCUCUGGGAUAAGCCUGGGAAACUGGGUCUAAUACUGGAUAUGACUCCACGGUGCAUGUCGUGGGGUGGAAAGCCUUGUGCGGCUGAGGAUGGGCCCGCGGCCUAUCAGCUUGNGGUGGGGUGAUGGCCUACCAAGGCGACGACGGGUAGCCGGCCUGAGAGGGCGACCGGCCACACUGGGACUGAGACACGGCCCAGACUCCUACGGGAGGCAGCAGUGGGGAAUAUUGCGCAAUGGGCGGAAGCCUGACGCAGCGACGCCGCGUGGGGGA